rnacentral:rRNA from 1 species
GAUCAUGGCUCAGGAUGAACGCUAGUUACAGGCUUAACACAUGCAAGUCGAGGGGCAGCAUGAACUUAGCUUGCUAAGUUUGAUGGCGACCGGCGCACGGGUGAGUAACACGUAUCCAACCUGCCGAUGACUCGGGGAUAGCCUUUCGAAAGAAAGGUUAAUGCCCGAUGGUUUCAAGGGAUUGCAUGGUAUCUUGAAUAAAGAUUCAUCGGUAUGCGAUGGUGAUGCG